GGGUGUAUAGCUCAGCUGGUUAGAGCACUCGCAUGACAUGCGAGGGGUCUCUGGUUCAAGUCCAGAUACGCCCACCC
rnacentral:tRNA from 1 species